rnacentral:rRNA from 1 species
UACGGAAGGCAGCAGUGGGGAAUAUUGCACAAUGGGCGAAAGCCUGAUGCAGCUAUGCCGCGUGUAUGAAGAAGGCCUUAGGGUUGUAAAGUACUUUUCAUCGGGGAGGAAAAACAAAACUAAUAAUUUUAUUUCUUGACGUUACCCGAAAAAGAAGCACCGGCUAACUCCGUGCCAGCAGCCGCGGUAAUACGGAGGGUGCUAGCGUUAAUCAGAAUUACUGGGCGUAAAGAGCACGUAGGUGGUUUUUUUAAGUCAGAUUGUGAAAUCCCUGGGCUUAACCUAGGAACUGCAUUUUGAAACUGAAAUACUAGAGUAUCGUAGAGGGAGGUAGAAUUCUAGGUGUAGCGGUGAAAUGCGUAGAUAUCUGGAGGAAUACCUGUGGCGAAAGCGGCCUCCUAAACGAAUACUGACACUGAGGUGCGAAAGCGUGGGGAGCAAACAGGGAUUAGAU